GCAUGUGGUUUAAUUCGACGCAACGCGAAGUAACCUUACCAGGGCUUGACACUCCCUGACCGCGUAUGAAAGUACGUUUUCACCCUCGGGUGACAGGGAGACAGGUGGUGCAUGGUUGUCGUCAGCUCGUGUCGUGAGAUGUUGGGUUAAGUCCCGCAACGAGCGCAACCCCUACGUUUAGUUGCUAACGCGUGAAGGCGAGCACUCUAGACGAACUGCCGUUGACAAACGGAGGAAGUGGGGAUGACGUCAAAUCAUCAUGCCCCUUAUGUUCUGGGCUACACACGUGCUACAAUGGCCGGUACAGACGGACGCAAAGCCGCGAGGUGGAGCAAAUCCUAAAAAGCCGGUCUCAGUUCGGAUUGCAGGCUGCAAUUCGCCUGCAUGAAGUCGGAAUCGCUAGUAAUCGCAGGUCAGCAUACUGCGGUGAAUACGUUCCCGGGCCUU
rnacentral:rRNA from 1 species